GACGUAGGGCGCGAGCGUUGUCCGGAUUUAUUGGGCGUAAAGAGCUCGUAGGCGGCUUGUUGCGUCAGCUGUGAAAACCCGCAGCUCAACUGUGGGCUUGCAGCUGAUACGGGCAGGCUUGAGAUUGGGAGAGGGAUGCGGAAUUCCAGGUGUAGCGGUGAAAUGCGUAGAUAUCUGGAGGAACACCGGUGGCGAAGGCGGCAUCCUGGACCAACACUGACGCUGAGGAGCGAAAGCCAGGGGAGCAAACGGG
rnacentral:rRNA from 1 species